rnacentral:rRNA from 1 species
GGACCCGCACAAGCGGUGGAUGAUGUGGUUUAAUUCGACGCAACGCGAAAAACCUUACCUACCCUUGACAUGCCUGGAAUCCUGCAGAGAUGUGGGAGUGCUCGAAAGAGAGCCAGACACAGGUGCUGCAUGGCCGUCGUCAGCUCGUGUCGUGAGAUGUUGGGUUAAGUCCCGCAACGAGCGCAACCCUUGUCAUUAGUUGCUACGAAAGGGCACUCUAAUGAGACUGCCGGUGACAAACCGGAGGAAGGUGGGGAUGACGUCAGGUCAUCAUGGCCCUUAUGGGUAGGGCUACACACGUCAUACAAUGGCCGGUACAGAGGGCUGCCAACCCGCGAGGGGGAGCCAAUCCCAGAAAACCGGUCGUAGUCCGGAUCGCAGUCUGCAACUCGACUGCGUGAAGUCGGAAUCGCUAGUAAUCGCGGAUCAGCUUGCCGCGGUGAAUACGUUCCCGGGUCUUGUACACACCGCCCGUCACACCAUGGGAGCGGGUUCUGCCAGAAGUAGUUAGCCUAACCGCAAGGAGGGCGAUUACCACGGCAGGGUUCGUGACUGGGGUGAAGUCGUAACAAGGUAGCCGUAUCGGAAGGUGCGGCU